AUCUGUCAUAAAAGAGGGCAGGGGAGUGCCAGGCAGGGCUCCCCCAUCCCCAAAUUCCUGAGGAGGGUCCCAGAAGGAAGUUCUGUCCUUCCCCAGUCUCACUGCGGGGCCAGGAGGGGCACAGGAGGUUGACCCCAUUCCCCACACUCACAAAGAGGGUCCCAAAAGGGGGUUCCCCCUCCCCAAAUUCACUGCAGGGCCAGGAGGGGCACAGGAGGUUGACCCCAUUCCCCACACUCAGGAAGAGGGUCCCAAAAGGGGGUUCCCCCUCCCCAAAUUCACUGCAGGGCCAGGAGGGGCACAGGAGGUUGACCCCAUUCCCCACACUCACAAAGGGGGUUCCCCCUCCCCAAAUUCAGUACAGGGCCAGGAGGGGCACAGGAGGUUGACCCCAUUCCCCACACUCACAAAGAGGGUCCCAAAAGGGGGUUCCCCCUCCCCAAAUUCACUGCGGGGCCAGGAAGGGGCACAGGAGGUUGACCCCAUUCCCCACACUCACAAAGAGGGUCCCAAAAGGGGGUUCCCCCUCCCCAAAUUCACUGCAGGGCCCUGAAGGGGCACAGGAGGUUGACCCCAUUCCCCACACUCAUGAGGAGGGUCCCAAAAGGGGGUUCCCCCUCCCCAAAUUCAGUGCAGGGCCAGGAAGGGGCACAGGAGGUUGACCCCAUUCACUCACAAAGAGGGUCUCAAAAGGGGGUUCCCCCUCCCCAAAUUCAGUACAGGGCCAGAAGGGGCACAGGAGGUUGACCCCAUUCCCCACACUCACAAAGGGGGUCCCAAAAGGGGGUUCCCCCUCCCCAAAUUCAGUGCAGGGCCAGGAGGGGGCACAGGAGGUUGACCCCAUUCCCCACACUCAGGAAGAGGGUCCCAAAAGGGGGUUCCCCCUCCCCAAAUUCAAUACAGGGCCAGGAGGGUGUCCCCACUCCCCAAACUCACAAGGAGAAUUCCAGAAAAGGGUUUUUCCACUCCCCAAACUCACAA